rnacentral:rRNA from 1 species
UACGUAGGGUGCAAGCGUUGUCCGGAAUUAUUGGGCGUAAAGAGCUCGUAGGCGGUUUGUUGCGUCGGCUGUGAAAUCCCGAGGCUCAACCUCGGGUCUGCAGUCGAUACGAGCAAACUAGAGUGUUGCAGGGGAGACUGGAAUUCCUGGUGUAGCGGUGAAAUGCGCAGAUAUCAGGGAGGGAACACCGGUGGGCGAAAGG